GCACGCCGUAUCCCUAUGAAAUUUUGCUUUGGAAGUAGGAAUUUAAUUUAUAGAAACUCAGGUUGAUGUAUGAAAAUCCGGGAAUUGUAACCCUAUUAAUGCAAUUUCGUUAAUCCCAUCCGUUUGAAUAUGAUCACAAAAAAACAUCGAUAGAAAAAUAGAAAAAACGAAAUUUAUUGGACUGAAAGAAUACGGAUUGAAUUAGGAAAAAGCAAAACACAAGCAGACGUUGAAACUCA
rnacentral:lncRNA from 1 species